rnacentral:rRNA from 1 species
CGCGUAGGCGGGAUGGCAAGUCGGUCGUGAAAUACCUCGGCUCAACUGAGGAGCGUCGAUCGAACUGCCGUUCUUGAGGGUUGCAGAGGAGACUGGAAUUCCCGGUGUAGCGGUGAAAUGUGUAGAGAUCGGGAGGAACACCGGUGGCGAAGGCGGGUCUCUGGGCAACUCCUGACGCUGAGGCGCGAAAGCGUGGGGAGCAAACG